GACGAACGCUAGCGGCGUGCCUAAGGUAUGCAAGUCGAACGGGGGGAGCAAUCCCCUAGUGGCGAACGGUCGAGUAACACGUAGACAACCUGCCUCCCAGUGGGGGGAUACCCGCUCGAAAGGGCGGCUAAUACCGCAUGUGGUCCGGAGCGGCAUCGCUUCGGUACUAAAGGUUUACUGCUGGGAGAUGGGUCUGCGCCCUAUCAGCUUGUGGC
rnacentral:rRNA from 1 species